UACGUAGGGGGCAAGCGUUGUCCGGAUUAUUGGGCGUAAAGCGCGUGUAGGCGGCCAGAAAAGUCCGCUGUGAAAAACUCGAGGCUCAACUUCGAGCUGUCGGUGGAAACUUUCUGGCUAGAGUCCGGAAGAGGAGAAUGGAAUUCCUGGUGUAGCGGUGAAAUGCGCAGAUAUCAGGAAGAACACCCGUGGCGAAGGCGGUCUCUGGGACGGUACCUGACGCUGAGACGCGAAAGCGUGGGGAGCGAACAGG
rnacentral:rRNA from 1 species